AGGGACGACCUGUAUCCAAUCAGGAGCUAACACAGGUGCUGCAUGGCUGUCGUCAGCUCGUGCCGUGAGGUGUUAGGUUAAGUCCUGCAACGAGCGCAACCCUCGUCGCUAGUAAUUCUCUAGCGAGACUGCCCGUAUAACGUGGAGGAAGGUGGGGAUGACGUCAAGUCAGCAUGGCCCUUACACCCUGGGCGACACACACGCUACAAUGGGUGGUACAGCGGGUUGCUAAGGAGCAAUCCGGAGCUAAUCCCUGAAAACCAUCCUCAGUUCAGGUUGCAGGCUGAAACUGCCUGCAUGAAGUAGGAGUUGCUAGUAACCGCGGGUCAGCACACCGCGGUGAAUACGUUCUCGGGCCUU
rnacentral:rRNA from 1 species